rnacentral:misc_RNA from 1 species
UGGAGACACGUUUGUUGCAGUUGUAGCACCAAUAGUGAGACGUAUCGGUUUCCGAUACAGAGGCGGGUGUCGGGGACUGAGACGGGCUUUCAGCCAUAAGGUUUCGGUGUUGAUACGGCCGAGGAAAUGCCCGCUGAAGACUUGGGUGAUGAGAGGAAGGUGCGGAGAAAGUGAGAGGGGAGAGAGUCGAAUGAUACGCUU